CGGUACUUCCUGUUCUCGUGACUGACAAGAGAAACUUCACUGUGCAGGAGGAUGAAGAGACGAACAUCAGGAGUCAGAGAAGAAGAUGAACUGAAGACUGGAGAAUGCAAAACAAAUCAACACGAGCAGCGAAAUAAUAUGAUAAUAAUAUGAAGAUCAGUAUUAUCAGUUUAUACAUGAACAGAGAUGAUGAUGAUGAGCUGAUGAAGAGCAGAAGAUGUCCAGCAGAGAAAGCAGAGCCGUCAUUCGUGGUUCUGCUCACAAGAGAAGUCAGAGCAAAGAGAUAGAGCCACCAUUCA